GGGGGGGGCGGGGGGGGGGCUGAACACAUGCAAGUCGGACGAGGAGGCCCAGCUUGCGGGGUGGAUUAGUGGCGAACGGGUGAGUAACACGUGAGUAACAUGCCCUUGACUCCGGGGUAGGCGCUGGCAACGGCGGCUAAUACCGGAUAGGAGCUUCCACGGCAUGGUGGUUUGAUGGCAAGCAUUUCGGUCACGGAUGGACUCGCGGCCUAUCAGGUAGUUGGUGAGGUAACGGCUCCCCAAGCCGACGACGGGUAGCCGGCCUGGGAGGGUGACCGGCCACACUGGGACUGAGACACGGCCCAGACUCCUACGGGAGGCAGCAGUGGGGAAUAUUGCACAAUGGGCGCAAGCCUGAUGCAGCAACGCCGCGUGAGGGACGAAGGCCUUCGGGUCGUAAACCUCUUUUAGCAGGGAAGAAGCGAAAGUGACGGUACCUGCAGAAAAAGCACCGGCUAACUACGUG
rnacentral:rRNA from 1 species